rnacentral:lncRNA from 1 species
AAACCGAACAGACAAGUUUAUUAAAACAAGAGAACAAUGACCAGUAGACAAUGGGGCAAAACUAUAACACGCACUAGCCUAGAUCAUUGAGUAUUAUUGUGGUUGCUGAUUCAAUACCAAUAUUUGAAUUCCAAAUUUCAUUUCAACGAAUAUACAAUUUCAUUAGUUGCGUUCAACGUUACACAUAUUUGAUAGAUUAAAACAUCAAACUCACCCCGCAUUAUAAAACAGGCCUUUCUUUUUUGCUGUUGUAGCGAACUUAGAAAGAGUGGCUCAUUUUUCUUCCUCAGGUAAGGACGAUAAGUAUUCUUUUCACUAUCCUUUUUUUCUUGAAUGGGAUUUCAGAAAAGUUCAAGAAUGUCACAUUAAAUUUCGUUUGGUAGCGAUUUCUUUAAAGCCAAUUGGUUUAAUGCAUGGUCAUUUUAGAUAACUUCACAAACCACUAACUUCCGACAAAGACCAAAGCUUCAUUAACGUACGUAUAUGACCGUCAACCCCCCCUCCCCCCUUUUUCUACAGGGGCGCAGUGGUGUGGCCAAAAUAUUAAAAAUUAAUGAAAAGCCAACAGCACAUGAAUGGUUAAGAUUUGGUAAUUGUUCUCUAUAUAACACUGCAAAAAAGAUUAUCAGAUUACCUUAAAAAUUUUGGAUUCAAGUAUCACUGUUCACUUGCAAUUAUACUUUUACUCGACAGUGAUAUAACAUUCAGUGGCCCCAGCACAAAGCUAUAACCACACCAUACCAUGCUUUCAAACUUUGAACUGGCUAUUAUUUAGUCACAUAUUAAGCAUAAAAUUUAACAAAAUGCUAGAAAAAUUAAGUAAAAUUGCUGUACAUGGAAAACCAAAUUAAUUGUUUUUAUUCAAAGCCUCUGAAAAAGUGGAGAAUGAACAGCACCUGUUACCUCUUCUCCUCGCCUUUCUCUGCCCUUACCGUAAAUUCCUUGUUUUUUCAAAAUCCAUUCACCAGUAACUACAACACUGCACAUAUCUUCAUAAGAAAUAUUCUCACAGAACUUGGAUUUUCUUUUCAAAAGUCUCCUCUUUCCAUUGCUUCUUUCUUCUUCAUUUUUUUCAGGUAAAGAAUGGAAAUGGAGUAAGAUGGUAUGGUCAAUUUCAUUUGGUGGUUCUACUACAGGCUUUCUUUCCAGAUCUUCAUCUACAACAUCUACAAAUGUGUACAUUCUAAAAGACUUUACCACAGACACAGACCAAGAAUGGAAAGACUACGAUCGCUUAGGGCCAGGACAAAAUGCGGAUGCGGACCACGGACUGCGGACAGGAGAAACUGCGGACUUUCACCUGCGGACUGGCCCAAAAUUUUUUGACAGAUUUUUCGUGGACUUAGGGAUAAAAUGCGGACCGUUUCCGGCGUUUCGUACAUGGAGCGAUUGAAAGUGCGGACCGGACAGGAUAAACUGCGGACUGGUAUCUGCGGACUCCAUGCCCAUAUCUAAUAUUAAAUUUCAAACUAAAAAUAGUAUUUAAAAAUCAACAUAUGCAUUAUUCAAAAUAUGAAAGUAAAGGACAGUUUACAUAACAUGGUUACUUCUUAACUAGGUAAACUCUUGGUACAACAAUGCAAAUAAAACAUGUAAUAAACUUAAAAGGAUUUGGGGUAUUUCCAAGGGGUUUUUUAAAACUCCUGAAAGGCAUAAUGCUGUUCUUUUGGAAGACAUUCCUUAUGGUACCAUUCUUUCCAAAGUUUGGUACCACGUUGCCGCCUUCUGAAGGACGACUUAACUGCGCUACGGUUGUCUAAUUCAAAUUCUUAGUUGUGCAUAAAAGAAAAUAGAAUAUAAUGGAUUUGGCCUAUAGGAAAAAAAUAAAUAAAAUAGUCAGCUGCUAA